GAUGAACGCUGGCGGCGUGCUUAACACAUGCAAGUCGAACGAUGAAGCCCAGCUUGCUGGGUGGAUUAGUGGCGAACGGGUGAGUAACACGUGAGUAACCUGCCCUUAACUCUGGGAUAAGCCUGGGAAACUGGGUCUAAUACCGGAUAGGAGCGUCCACCGCAUGGUGGGUGUUGGAAAGAUUUAUCGGUUUUGGAUGGACUCGCGGCCUAUCAGCUUGUUGGUGAGGUAAUGGCUCACCAAGGCGACGACGGGUAGCCGGCCUGAGAGGGUGACCGGCCGCAGGGGGACAGACGCAGGGCCAGCGCCCAGCGGGGAGGAAGAGGGGGGAAAGAGUGAAAAGGGGGCGAAGGCGUGAUGCGGCAGCGCGGGGGGAGGGAGGACGGCCGUCGGUUGGAAAACCUCUUGCGGUGGGAAAAAGGCGAAAGGGACGGUACGGGAAAAAGAAGCCCGGCAAACCUCGGCC
rnacentral:rRNA from 1 species